rnacentral:rRNA from 1 species
GAACUGAAACAUCUCAGUAGCUCGAGGAAAAGAAAUCAACCGAGAUUCCGAAAGUAGUGGCGAGCGAAAUCGGAUGAGCCUUUACGUUUUAGCACGCAGGAUAGUCGAACGGAAUGGAAAGUCCGGCCGUAGCAGGUGAUAGCCCUGUAGACGAAAUUCUGUGUGUGGAACUAAGCGUAAGACAAGUAGGGCGGGACACGUGAAAUCCUGUUUGAAGAUGGGGGGACCAUCCUCCAAGGCUAAAUACUCGUGAUCGACCGAUAGUGAACCAGUACCGUGAGGGAAAGGCGAAAAGAACCCCGGAAGGGGAGUGAAAUAGAUCCUGAAACCGUAUGCAUACAAACAGUAGGAGCCUCCUUGUGGGGUGACUGCGUACCUUUUGUAUAAUGGGUCAGCGACUUACAUUCAGUGGCAAGGUUAACCGAAUAGGGAAGCCGUAGCGAAAGCGAGUCCGAAUAGGGCGAUUUAGUCGCUGGGUGUAGACCCGAAACCAGAUGAUCUAUCCAUGGCCAGGUUGAAGGCACGGUAACACGUGCUGGAGGACCGAACCCACUAAUGUUGAAAAAUUAGGGGAUGAGCUGUGGAUAGGGGUGAAAGGCUAAACAAAUCUGGAAAUAGCUGGUUCUCUCCGAAAACUAUUUAGGUAGUGCCUCAAGUAUUACUGCGGGGGGUAGAGCACUGUUAUAGCUAGGGGGUCAUGGCGACUUACCAAACUAUGGCAAACUCCGAAUACCCGCAAGUACAGCUUGGGAGACAGAGCACCGGGUGCUAACGUCCGGACUCAAGAGGGAAACAACCCAGACCGCCAGCUAAGGUCCCGAAUUAUCGCUAAGUGGGAAACGAAGUGGGAAGGCAUAGACAGUCAGGAGGUUGGCUUAGAAGCAGCCAUCCUUUAAAGAAAGCGUAAUAGCUCACUGAUCGAGUCGUCCCUGCGCGGAAGAUGUAACGGGGCUUAAGCGAUAAACCGAAGCU